AAUGAGUGACGCAAAUCAUAUACUAAAUUUCUAAUUCUUGAUCUUCCAAUUGUUGAUCAUCACAAACAAGCAGUUGAUUAUUGAUCCCGAAAACAAUAGUGUUAGAUAUGCAAAGACCUAGUCACAUCUGUCAGUUAUAACUCAAACUAGUAACCUAUUUUAUUUGUUUUUCUUUUCCUACCAUGGUUAACGAAGACUAAUCCCACUUGAAGAGUUAAACCAUGUGGUA
rnacentral:lncRNA from 1 species